CCAUUCGUGCCGAGGCCUCACGAACACACCCAUUUGGUGCCCUACCGCUAAGCCGCUAACCCUGGCUCACGAACACACCCAGUCAGCCGCCAGGCCGCCGCUGUGCCUUCCGCCGUCCGCCGAGGCACCGAGCCGCUGUCCCUCCCCGUCCGCCGAGCCGUUGCCCCUGUGGCUGUGCUGUGCCUCCGUUCGCCGGCCGAGCCGCUGUCCGCCUGUCACUGUCCCUCAGUCCGCCGAGCUGCUGUGCUUUCCGGCUUCGCCGUCCGCCGAACAGGUUCGUCCGCGAGCGCGACGCGCCGAGCUUCCGCCGUCCGCCGAGCAGGGUCAUCUGCACACCAACAGGGUCUACGACAAUGUCUGGACCUUCAUUCUAACAGAUGCAACCUUCAAGAGCGCUGAGAUUCAAGAAACACUGAGCAAGAUGGGUCUCAAUGCCGUGGUGGCCGCCUGCUACGUCUUUCCAUUACUUGUCUUUGUGCUCACAGUCCGCUUCUUCUACGUACUGUGGCACAGUGGCCAACCAGAGUCAAGGUUGUGCGCCACCAGAUUGCGUUGUCUCAUUGUCCUUGGCUCCGAAAAGGUCCAGAUUACCAGCUCCGGGUGAUGCUGAUGAGCUAUCUGUCAUUGAAGACCAAAUUGCAUGGAUAGUUCACAUAAUUGCAUCCAUUGUCAAGUAAGGCAGGUAACAGGUGUUAGGUGAGCAAUAUAUAUUUUCUUUUAUUUGUAAACUUUGUUCUUUUAAAUGUUGUUCUUGCUUGCAUAUGCGAUUCAGGAAGAGCCCGUAGAGAGGUCGAGGAGCAGCACUGGCUGUUUCUCUGGCAUUGAUCAAGGCGAGCACAUCAAGGGGUCUCAGGCACCUCCCUCUCAUUGGUGUCGUCGUUGAACCAGUUAUGGUACAUUGGAAUGGCUGCAAAUUGAGGGAGAAAGACCUGGAAACAGUGAUGCAGCAUGUUCACACGAAGAUGGCAACAAUGGUAACAUUUGCAUUGGUCCUGUAAAUAAGGCAUCACAAGGUCAUAUGCUAGCAACUUUAAUAUGGAUUUAUUUAUUCUCCUAGAAGAAAAGGCCAAGAUGUUUGAGAUUUCAGUGCUUCAUUUAACUUUCAGCUUGUGUUGUCUUAGCUUACUAUGGCAUUAACCCACUACUAUCCUGAAUUGUCAUGUGAUCUGUAUCAUGUAUUCAUGAAAAAUGCAUUUUAUGCUACAAGCACUUGUGGUUUUGCUAACUAUAUCCAGUUAUGCAAUCCACAGUUCUUUGUAACAGUACAUGAUUAUGCCAAACAAGACAUUAGUUGAAUGAUAUGUUCAAACUAUUCAAAUGUUUUUCUCUUUGUAACAGUUUGUGAUGUUAGAAUGAUAUGUUCAAUCCACAGUCCUUUGUCUGGGAUGGAUUUCUUUGUCUUGACUCUUGAGUAUAGUGUAUUUCUGACUAUCAUUUGUCAAUUUUGUUGACUUUUAUGCUCAUAACUUGAGAAACUUUUAUUAUAAGUGUACACUGCGUUUUAUUUUUUUACUGUUGUUUGACUGAUUACUGCAAGGAAUCUUGUGUAGGUAUUGAAUAUGCUUGCUUGAUGGAUUGAAGAUCCAAAUUCGAAUAUAACUUCAUAAGUUCAUAUCCCACGAGUCUAAUUACUUGUGGCUUGCUGAAGAUGGCAUGAAGAUGCAGGAUGAAUCAAUGCUAUUAUGAUGCAUCUCUAUAGAUUAGACAACUACAGAGUUGGUGCUGUUUUAAUGCAGUCCGGGCACCCAAUAGCUUAUUUGAGCAAGGCUUUGGGAACUAAAUCUCAAGGGUUGUUCACCUAUGAGAAAGAAUAUCUGGCGAUUCUGGUUGCUGUAGAUCAUUGGCGCCAUUAUUUGCAGUUGAAGGAGUUUCACAUUUACACGGAUCAUCGCAGCUUCGUUCAAUUGGAUGAACAAUGUUUGCACACUCCAUGGCAACAGAAAAUGUUUACUCGUUUAUUGGGAUUGCAGUACAAAAUUAUAUACAAGGGGUUGACAAUAGUGCGGCUGAUGCAUUGUCCAGGCAUCCGGAGGUUCAGUUCUCCUGUUCGGCAUUGUCUACUUGCACUCCACAAUGGAUAACAAAUGUUUCUGAUUCUUAGCACCAUGAUGAUAUGGCUUCGACUAUAAUGGCCAAGUUAGCCAUUGAUGCUAAAGCAGUACCAUCUUAUUCAUGGCACAAUGGAAUUCUUCGCUAUAAAAACCGAAUUUGGGUGGGAUAGUCACUGACACUGCACCAAAGAUUGUUAUCA